GGAAGGAUCAUUACUGAACCAACACCGUCCACCUUCUUGUAGUGGACCAUUCAAAGGCCUGUCAUGGGAAUUUGAUGAUGAUCAACUCGGCUCGUUGCCCAACAUUGGGUGAUGGGUGCCUUCUUGAUUUUGAUGCUCAUUUACCAGGUUGGAUUGAAACGCUCAUCACUUAGUGCCUACAUGCGGCAGACCUGUGUGGGAUGGGUGCCUUUUUCAAGAGGUUGAAGUUGGUCAGAUGUCGUGGUGGCAGGCCUUUGGGGUCUCCUAUGAAUUUCUUUUUCACCACACAGAACUGUCGUGUUGCCCCUAAACAUAUAAUAUAACUUUCAACAACGGAUCUCUUGGCUCUCGCAUCGAUGAAGAACGCAGCGAAAUGCGAUAAGUAAUGUGAAUUGCAGAAUUCAGUGAAUCAUCGAAUCUUUGAACGCACCUUGCGCUCCUUGGCAUUCCGAGGAGCAUGCCUGUUUGAGCGUCGUUGAAUUCUCAGAAUCCUACCCGAUCUUUCUGGUGGUCCACCGAACAAUGUGCCGCUCCAGGAUCACCCAGGCCACCUGAAAGGGUGGAGGCACCUCUUCGGUGUACAUUACGGUCUUGAAAGAUUCGGAAGGGAGGUGGUAACUGGCAGCAAAACAAUCACGUUUUGGCCCAGAGCCAGCCGUUGGUGUAAAUGCUGGCGGAUGGUUGGGGGUGCUGGUCUACUACUUCCCAUCAGGGGGAUGUGGAUUGUGGAGGAUGCAAGGCUGCCUUUGCUUUGCUUCUCUGAAAUGGAUUGGCAUUAUGGCUGCGGUCACAAACCUGUUGUUGGUAUGAUACCUGUGUCCUACCCACAUCUAACCUGUGCCAGCCAAGGCCAUACGAGACAAAAGUCUUUAACUCAAAUGAUUUGACCUCAAAUCAGGCAGGACUACCCGCUGAACUUAAGCAUAUCAAUAAGCGGAGGAAAAGAAACUAACAAGGAUUCCCCUAGUAACUGCGAGUGAAGCGGGAAGAGCUCAAAUUUAAAAUCUGGCGGCCAGUGGUCGUCCGAGUUGUAAGCUAGAGAAGCGCCGUCCGCGCUGGGGCCGUGUGCAAGUCUCCUGGAACGGAGCGUCGUGGAGGGUGAGAACCCCGUCUGUGACACGGACUCCCAGGGCAUCGCGAUCGCGCCCUCAAAGAGUCGAGUUGUUUGGGAAUGCAGCUCCAAAUGGGUGGUAAACUCCAUCUAAAGCUAAACACUGGCGAGAGACCGAUAGCGAACAAGUACCGUGAGGGAAAGAUGAAAAGAACUUUGGAAAGAGAGUUAAACAGUACGUGAAAUUGUUGAAAGGGAAACGCUUGAAGUCAGUCGCGUCGGCCAGGGAUCAGCCCCGCAACCGCGAGGUGCACUCCCCGGUCGACGGGUCAGCACCAGUCUCGACCGCUGGAGAAAGGUCGGGGGAAUGUGGCAUCCUUGGAUGUGCUUAUAGCCCCCGAUCGCAUGCAACGGUCGGGAUUGAGGAACUCGGUGCGCCGCAAGGCCGGGUCUCAGACCACGUCCGCGCCCAGGAUGCUGGCACAAUGGCUUUAAUCGACCCGUCUUGAAACACGGACCAAGGAGUCUAACAUGCCUGCGAGUGUUUGGGUGGAAAACCCAUGCGCGCAAUGAAAGUGAAAGUUGAGAUCCCCGUCGUGGGGAGCAUCGACGCCCGGACCAGACCUGCUGCGACGGAUCCGCGGUGGAGCAUGCAUGUUGGGACCCGAAAGAUGGUGAACUAUGCCUGAAUAGGGCGAAGCCAGAGGAAACUCUGGUGGAGGCUCGUAGCGAUUCUGACGUGCAAAUCGAUCGUCGAAUUUGGGUAUAGGGGCGAAAGACUAAUCGAACCAUCUAGUAGCUGGUUCCUGC
rnacentral:misc_RNA from 1 species